rnacentral:rRNA from 1 species
GAUGAACGCUGGCGGCGUGCUUAACACAUGCAAGUCGAACGGAAAGGCCCAAGCUUGCUUGGGUACUCGAGUGGCGAACGGGUGAGUAACACGCGGGUGUUCUGCCCUGCAAUUCGUGAUAAGCCUGGGAAACUGGGUCUAAUACCGGGUAGGACGAUGGUUACGAUGCCGUUGUGGAAAGUUUUUUCGGUUUGGGAUGAGCUUGCGGCCUAUCAGCUUGUUGGUGGGGUAAUGGCCUACUAAGGCGUCGACGGGUAGCCGGCACGAGAGGGUGUACGGACAGAUUAGAACUCAGAGGCGGGCAAGACUCGUACAGGAGGCAGAAGGGGCGAAUGUUUGACAAUGGAAGCAAGCCUGAUUCAUGAAGGCCGCGUGGGGGAAGACGGCCUUCGGGAUGGAAGCACAUUUCGCUAGGGACGAAGCGUUUUUUUGACGGUACCUGGAGAAGAAGCACCGGCUAACUACGUG